rfam:Anopheles gambiae str. PEST chromosome 3L, whole genome shotgun sequence.
AGAACUUUAAGUUUCUGCAAUGGUAUGGGAUCCGAAGCCCCUCGAGGGAUAAUACAAGCUCUCCCAUCCAAUUCCUGUUUCGAUACGUCCUCGUCGUGCAGAGUGGUAACAUGUGCCUCCAUAUAUCCUAGAUUGGGUACAUGGGCUAGAUCCAACCCCUUGGGCGGAUGGUGGCACAUGGCGAACCAGGAGGGA